UACGGGGGGGGCAAGCGUUGUUCGGAAUUACUGGGCGUAAAGGGUUUGUAGGUGGCUCGCUAAGUCAGACGUGAAAUCCCUCAGCUUAACUGGGGAACUGCGUCUGAGACCGGCGAGCUUGAGUGCAGGAGAGGAACGCGGAAUUCCAGGUGUAGCGGUGAAAUGCGUAGAUAUCUGGAGGAACACCGGUGGCGAAGGCGGCGUUCUGGACUGCAACUGACACUGAGAAACGAAAGCCAGGGGAGCAAACGGG
rnacentral:rRNA from 1 species